UGGGGAAUAUUGGACAAUGGGGGCAACCCUGAUCCAGCGAUGCCGCGUGGGUGAAGAAGGCCUUCGGGUUGUAAAGCCCUUUAGGUUGGGAAGAAGGUUGGUGGGGGAUAAUCCCAUUAGCUUGACGGUACCAACAGAAUAAGCACCGGCAAACUCUGUGCCAGCAGCCGCGGUAAUACAGAGGGUGCGAGCGUUAAUCGGAAUUACUGGGCGUAAAGGGCGCGUAGGCGGUGAGAUAUGUGUGAUGUGAAAGCCCUGGGCUUAACCUGGGAAGUGCAUCGCAAACGGUCUGACUGGAGUAUAUGAGAGGGUGGCGGAAUUUCCGGUGUAGCGGUGAAAUGCGUAGAGAUCGGAAGGAACGUCAAUGGCGAAGGCAGCCACCUGGCAUAAUACUGACGCUGAGGCGCGAAAGCGUGGGGAGCGAACA
rnacentral:rRNA from 1 species